UUCUCUAUUUUCUCUCUCUGAGUUCUUUAGAACUCUAACAUUCCAGCAGGUUCGGCCGGACUUCCCCUGCUGCAUGACAGCUUCUAGUAAAAUAGUCAUAACUCCCUCAUUUCUCAUCCAAAAUGAGCUUAUGACCAGGCGUUGGAAAGCUAAUGAGCCAAGCUUUCACCUCCAUCUUAAAUCAACUCAAUCUAAUUAGUAGAUCAUGAGAUAUGUCCAUUUGAAGUUAGACCUUCCACUAUAACACCCUAACAUUCUUCAAAGAAGAUUCGAGGCACACAUAACAAUUGGGUUUUGUUUUGUGUUCAAUCUUGAUUACAGCGUAAUUGCCUGAUUGUUGAUGGUUGGUAUUGUUUAUUAUGACUUAUGAGUGUGCAUAUUAUCGAUAAGUAAGGAGGUUCUUCGAGGACAUGGAGAAGAGCUCUGUUAUGUAGUUCGGCGUAACUUGAAGGUUCUAUGUUGCAGUCGCCAUCUGGACUUGAGAUUCUAGACACAGGGACACAACCGAUCUUUGGCACGUUCAGGAAUGCAAAUUUUCUGCCUCCUCUAUUGAGAUUCUAUUGUAAGCUUUCUAUAAUGCAGCUUAUGUUUGUGUCUUCAACUCUGUGUCAUUUGACGUAGCGUGCAUGUUGUACUUAAGGGCUUGUUUGGUAUCAUUGCCUAAUUUCUACAGAGUAGUUAUUACUCGUUUCUGGAAC